rnacentral:ribozyme from 12 species
UAUCUCUUUUUCCCAUCUUUUUUUUUUUUUUUUUUUUUUUUUUU